rnacentral:rRNA from 1 species
CGUUGUCCGGGUCGUGGUAGGAGAGCGUAGCAGUCCGCGUCGAAGCGAUACGGAAACGAGUCGUGGAGCGUCUGCUAGUGAUUAUGCCGGCUUGAGUAACGAGAAAGCGGGUGAGAAUCCCGCUCGCCGAAAACCUAAGGUUUCCCGGGGAAGGUAAAUCCGCCCAGGGUUAGUCGGCCCCUUAGUCGAGGCUGAAAGGCGUAGACGAUGGACAGCAGGUUAAUAUUCCUGCACUAUGUAUCGAAGGCUCGAACUGUGGGAGUGACGCAGAGGCAACCGCUGGAAGCCGAUUAGUCGUGGCUAUCGUGCCUGCGGCGCCGCUGGUAGGCAAAUCCGCCAGCACAAGGUGCCAAUGGACCGCGAGGGCCGAUUUUGAUCCCCGAGCAGCCAGAGUUUCUGCCGAGAAAAACUUCAAACAGGACAACGAUGCAUAACCGUACUAAAACUGACACAGGUAGGUGAGGAGAAUAUCCUCAGGCGCUCGAGAAAACCGUACCUUAAGGAACUAGGCAAUUUGACCCCGUACGUUCGCAAGAAGGGGUGCCUCCAGCGACAUGGUUAACCCUAUGUCGGCUGAGGCCGCAGUGAAGUGGCUCUGGCGACUGUUUACCAAAAACACAGUUCUCUGCUAACACACACAGUGGAUGUAUAGAGGAUGACGCCUGCUCGGUGCCGGAAGGUUAAGGGGAAGGGUCAGCUGUCGCAAGACGGUGAAGCUCCUAACUGAAGCCCCGGUAAACGGCGGCCGUAACUAUGACGGUCCUAAGGUAGCGAAGUUCCUUGUCGGGUAAGUUCCGACGUGCAUGUACGGCGUAACGACUGGAGCAGUGUCUCAAGGACGGACUCGGUGAAAUAGUAGUUGUAGCGAAGAUUCUACAUGCCCGCGGCAAGACGGGAAGACCCCGUGAACCUUUACUGUAUCCUGGUAUUGACGCCUGGCAUAUCAUGCGUAGGAUAGGUGGGAGGCUGUGAAGCGGUGCUCUUGGGCAUCGUGGAGCCGUCGUUGAAAUACCACCCUUGCUAUGUUAGUCGCCUAACCGCAUCCCGUGAAUCCGGGUGCGGAACCGUGCUAGGUGGGCAGUUUGACUGGGGCGGUCUCCUCCAAAAAAGUAACGGAGGAGUUCAAAGGUACCCUCAGCGUGGUUGGCAAUCACGCAGCGAGUGCAAAGGCACAAGGGUGCUUAACUGUGAGACUUAUCAGUCGAGCAGAUGCGAAAGCAGGACUUAGUGAUCCGGUGGUCCCGCGUGGAAGGGCCAUCGCUCAUCAGACAAAAGGUACUCUGGGGAUAACAGGCUGAUCUCUCCCGAGCGUUCAUAGCGGCGGGGAGGUUUGGCACCUCGAUGUCGGCUCAUCACAUCCUGGGGCUGUAGGCGGUCCCAAGGGUUCGGCUGUUCGCCGAUUAAAGUGGUACGCGAGCUGGGUUCAGACCGGCGUGAGCCAGGUCGGUCCCUAUCUGCCGUGGGCGCAGGAAUCUUGAGGGGAUGCUUCUUUAGUACGAGAGGAUUGGGAAGUACGAAUCCCUGGUGUACCGGCUGUCCCGCUCGGGGCACCGCCGGGUAGCUAAAUUCGGAAAGGAUAACCGCUGAAAGCAUCUAAGCGGGAAGCCCACCCCAAGAUAAGGAUUCCCUGUUCGACUCGUUCGAACGAGAGGGCCCUGGAAGACUACCAGGUUGAUAGGCCGGAUGUGUAAGCGCGGAAACGCGUUCAGCUUACCGGUACUAACGCCCGAUGACUUGACC